GCCAGCAGCCAAAUCCAGCCAUACCCUGCAACUCACAACUGGCAGCCCACUGAAGCUAAGCAGGUGUGAGCCUGGUCAGUACCUGGAUGGGAGACUCCUGGGAAAAACUAAGGUUGCUGCUGGAA
rnacentral:rRNA from 1 species